rnacentral:rRNA from 1 species
UACGUAGGGGGCAAGCGUUGUCCGGAUUUAUUGGGCGUAAAGAGCGUGUAGGCGGUUAUGCAGGUCCGCUGUGAAAACUGGAGGCUUAACCUCCAGACGUCGGUGGAAACCGUAUGACUAUAGUCCGGAAGAGGAGAGUGGAAUUCCUGGUGUAGCGGUGAAAUGCGCAGAUAUCAGGAAGAACACCCGUGGCGAAGGCGGCUCUCUGGGACGGUACUGACGCUGAGACGCGAAAGCGUGGGGAGCGAACAGG